GAUGAACGCUAGCGGCAGGCCUAACACAUGCAAGUCGAACGGUAACAGAGGAGCUUGCUCUUGCUGACGAGUGGCGAACGGGUGCGUAACGCGUAUACAACUUGCCUAUAACUGGGAGAUAGCCCAUGGAAACGUGGAUUAAUACCCCAUAAUACUGAGAAUUCGCAUGUUUUUUCAGUUAAAGCUUUUGCGGUUAUAGAUGGGUAUGCGUGACAUUAGCUAGUUGGUAAGGUAACGGCUUACCAAGGCCACGAUGUCUAGGGGGCCUGAGAGGGUGAUCCCCCACACUGGUACUGAGACACGGACCAGACUCCUACGGGAGGCAGCAGUGAGGAAUAUUGCACAAUGGAGGAAACUCUGAUGCAGCCAUGCCGCGUGCAGGAUGACUGCCCUACGGGUUGUAAACUGCUUUUAUAUAGGAAGAAACCUCUCUACGUGUAGAGAGCUGACGGUACUAUAAGAAUAAGGACCGGCUAACUCCG
rnacentral:rRNA from 1 species